rnacentral:ncRNA from 1 species
CCCUAAACCUACACAUGCAAGUCUCAGCACUCCUGUGAGGACGCCCUCUUUUCUAACCCAGACUUAGGAGCCGGCAUCAGGCACUAAACUCGCCUACAACGCCUAGUUCAACCACGCCCCCAAGGGUUUUCAGCAGUGAUUAAUAUUGUAUAUAAGUGUUAACUUGAACCAGUUAUAGGGAAGAGAGCUGGCCAACUCGGUGCCAGCCGCCGCGGCUAAACCGCACGAGCUCAAGUUGAUAGCUUCCGGCGUUAAGCGUGAUUAAAGACUUACUUAAUUAGAGAAAAACCUAAACUUAGCUGUGAUAAGCUUGUUAUUGUGAAAAACAAGUACGAAAGUUGCUCUAAUAAACUUGAAUACACGACAGUCGGGAAACAAACUGGGAUUAGAUACCCCACUAUGCCCUACCGUAAAAUAUAUACUUACACCACCUACGCCAGGGUACUACGAGCUUUAGCUUAAAACCCAAAGGACUUGACGGUGUCCCAUCCAACUAGAGGAGCCUGUUCUAUAAUCGAUAACCCCCGAUAUACCUAACCUCACCUUGCUAAUCAGCCUGUAUACCUCCGUCGCAAACUUACCAUAUGAAUGUCAACAGUAAGUUUAAUGAUUUUAUCACCAACACGUCAGGUCAAGGUGCAGCUCAUGAUGAGGAAGAAAUGGGCUACAAUUUCUAAAUUAGAACUCACGGAAUGCUGCAUGAAAACACAGCCACAAAGGCGGAUUUAGUAGUAAAAAGUAAAUAAAGUGUCCUUUUUAAUAAGGCCCUGGGACGUGUACACACCGCCCGUCACCCUCUUCAACAGCACAUAUAUGUAUUUAACAAUUUCUGCACUUUAGAAGAGGCAAGUCGUAACAUGGUAAGUGUACUGGAAAGUGCACUUGGAUUAC